GAUGAACGCUAGCGGCAGGCUUAACACAUGCAAGUCGAGGGGCAGCAUGAGGGUUAGCAAUAACCUUUGAUGGCGACCGGCGCAAGGGUGCGUAACGCGUGAGCAACUUGCCCGUUUCAGGGGGAUAACCGGUGGAAACGCCGACUAAUACCCCCAUAGUAUUGGAUUGAGGCAUCUCUUUUCAAUUAAAGAACUUCGGAAACGGAUAGGCUCGCGUGACAUUAGCUAGAUGGCGGGGUAACGGCCCACCAUGGCGACGAUGUCUAGGGGUUCUGAGAGGAAGGUCCCCCACACUGGAACUGAGACACGGUCCAG
rnacentral:rRNA from 1 species